rnacentral:rRNA from 1 species
ACUUGCUCUGAUGGCGAGUGGCGAACGGGUGAGUAAUAUAUCGGAACGUGCCCUAGAGUGGGGGAUAACUAGUCGAAAGACUAGCUAAUACCGCAUACGAUCUAAGGAUGAAAGUGGGGGAUCGCAAGACCUCAUGCUCGUGGAGCGGCCGAUAUCUGAUUAGCUAGUUGGUGGGGUAAAAGCCUACCAAGGCAACGAUCAGUAGCUGGUCUGAGAGGACGACCAGCCACACUGGGACUGAGACACGGCCCAGACUCCUACGGGAGGCAGCAGUGGGGAAUUUUGGACAAUGGGGGCAACCCUGAUCCAGCAAUGCCGCGUGAGUGAAGAAGGCCUUCGGGUUGUAAAGCUCUUUUGUCAGGGAAGAAACGGUUCUGGAUAAUACCUGGAGCUAAUGACGGUACCUGAAGAAUAAGCACCGGCUAACUACGUGCCAGCAGCCGCGGUAAUACGUAGGGUGCAAGCGUUAAUCGGAAUUACUGGGCGUAAAGCGUGCGCAGGCGGUUGUGUAAGUCAGAUGUGAAAUCCCCGGGCUCAACCUGGGAAUUGCAUUUGAGACUGCACGGCUAGAGUGUGUCAGAGGGGGGUAGAAUUCCACG